rnacentral:rRNA from 1 species
GAGUUUGAUCGUGGCUCAGAGUGAACGCUGGCGGUAGGCCUAACACAUGCAAGUCGAACGGCAGCACAGCAGUAGCAAUACUGUGGGUGGCGAGUGGCGGACGGGUGAGGAAUACAUCGGAAUCUACUCUGUCGUGGGGGAUAACGUAGGGAAACUUACGCUAAUACCGCAUACGACCUACGGGUGAAAGUGGGGGACCGCAAGGCCUCACGCGAUUGAAUGAGCCGAUGUCGGAUUAGCUAGUUGGCGGGGUAAAGGCCCACCAAGGCGACGAUCCGUAGCUGGUCUGAGAGGAUGAUCAGCCACACUGGAACUGAGACACGGUCCAGACUCCUACGGGAGGCAGCAGUGGGGAAUAUUGGACAAUGGGCGCAAGCCUGAUCCAGCCAUACCGCGUGGGUGAAGAAGGCCUCGGUUGUAAG